GACAGAGGGUGCAAGCGUUGUUCGGAAUUACUGGGCGUAAAGCGCGUGUAGGCGGCUCUGCAAGUCGGAUGUGAAAUCCCACGGCUCAACCAUGGAAGUGCAUUCGAAACUGCAGAGCUAGAGUCCUGGAGAGGAAGGUGGAAUGCUUGGUGUAGAGGUGAAAUUCGUAGAUAUCAAGCGGAACACCGGUGGCGAAGGCGGCCUUCUGGACAGUGACUGACGCUGAGACGCGAAAGCGUGGGGAGCAAACAGG
rnacentral:rRNA from 1 species